rnacentral:tRNA from 1 species
AGUAGAAUGGCUGAGAUUAAGCGAUAAAUUGUAAAUUUUUUUACGGAAGAGUAUCCUUCUACUA